AGUAAGAUCAGCUAAUCAAGCUCUUGGACCCAUACUCCAAAAAUGAGGGCCACCCCCUCUCUUACU
rnacentral:tRNA from 1 species